rnacentral:lncRNA from 10 species
UUUACAUUUGAGAAUGAAGCUCAGCUGAAGUUUGAACAGCAUACUGACAGUAUACCAACAAGAAUGAAAAUAACUUAACAGCAAUUUUAUAAAUUCACAUCCCCCAGAGCACCACAGAGUAAAGAAAUACUGCAUAUGGGUAACAACUGGUUCUUAGUUACUAAAUCUGAAAGAUCAAAUACAGUUAAUUACAUAAGGCUUCUCUUGAGUUUUUCUGGGGGAAUAUACCAGGAGACCAUAAUCAAGGUACCAGUUUAUUGAUGGCUGUCCUUAACAAAUACAACUCUUCAAGAAAAUAAAGUAAUUUCAUCACCAGUGGCAUUUCAUACUGGUCCCAUGGUGUUAAUCCAGGUUUCUGGUAUUGCACUAAACACGAUGAAAAACAGGAGAGAACGGAGAGGGAUCAUGUUUUACCACAAUAUGCAAUUUAUGGGAGAGAUGAAGCGCUCAGGUGGAGAUGACUAGUGUCACGUGGUGUUUUAAGUGGAUACUCACAACGCUGGAACUCACAGCAAUAACAACAAGAGGAUCCUCUAUAGACUGUUGAUGUAUAGCCAUGAGAAAAAAAAAAGAAAAAUUUUUGCUCUCAAUGAGCUUGCAUUUAAGCAUCUAUAAAAGGGUGAGAUUAAUAUUUACUCAGUGAACUUUGAGUAAAGCAUUGGGUGCUUCAUUAUGUGGAGGAGUCUCAUCCAAUCAGUUGAAGGUGACUGAAUGGAACUAUAGAUCGACCUCACAUAAAUGAGAGGGAAUUCUGCAACAGAUCAUCUUUGCCUUUGAACUGCAGCAUGGACUCCCCUCUGGGUCUCCUGCCUGCCAGCCCACCCUGCAGAGUGCAUUUGCCAGCCUCCACAAUCAGGGUAAUUUAUCCUGUGCAUUAACAAGAGGAAGUCUAGAGCCAUGGAAACCAAGUCAGGAAACUUCUCUCUUAUUAUUAGGUCCACUGCAAAUCUAGUUGAGACUGCAAAUCGAGGUUUAGUCACCACCUCCGAGGAACUGUGUCCCGCAUUGGCAUUCCUUUGGCAGCUUCCACUUCUCUGUCCCCUUGAGCAAAGGUUUUUCUCAGGGGAAGCCGAGCUCCAGACUAUUCAUUUGUCCUGAGGCAGCCACUUGAAACACAAUCAUUUUGUAUUUCUACGAUGUUUUGACCUUUUAUCCAAGUCAGCCCUAUAGAAUGGGCCAGGAGGUUGCUGCCACUGAAUAAGCCACUGUGAUUUUUAGCGUCAAGAAUUUUGCUGUUAACUAUGGCAGAAAAAUAGACAGAGGACAAUAAAAAUCUAAUGAUAUCUUAAGUUAGAACAUCAUGCCAAGAGAAGUAUGUUUUCAACCAAGAAAGCAAAAUCAACAUGAUCCUAAAUGAACUGCUUCUGCAUGUCAACAGUCUUGAUAUACCUGAGAGAGUGAGAUACAGAGUAUGUUGUUAAACUUUUUAUAAUUACAAAUAUUGCUUGUAUUUCUUUUGAAAUUUGCCACACGCUGAUAUUAAAAAUAAUAGAUAGAAAAU